ACGACUCUCGACAACGGUAUCUCGGCUCUCGCAUCGAUGAAGAACGUAGCGAAAUGCGAUACUUGGUGUGAAUUGCAGAAUCCCGUGAACCAUCGAGUCUUUGAACGCAAGUUGCGCCUGAAGCCAUUAGGCUGAGGGCACGUCUGCCUGGGUGUCACGC
rnacentral:rRNA from 1 species